rnacentral:rRNA from 1 species
AUUGAACGCUGGCGGCAGGCCUAACACAUGCAAGUCGAGCGGAUGAAGGGAGCUUGCUCCUGGAUUCAGCGGCGGACGGGUGAGUAAUGCCUAGGAAUCUGCCUGGUAGUGGGGGAUAACGUCCGGAAACGGGCGCUAAUACCGCAUACGUCCUGAGGGAGAAAGUGGGGGAUCUUCGGACCUCACGCUAUCAGAUGAGCCUAGGUCGGAUUAGCUAGUUGGUGGGGUAAAGGCCUACCAAGACGACGAUCCGUAACUGGUCUGAGAGGAUGAUCAGUCACACUGGAACUGAGACACGGUCCAGACUCCUACGGGAGGCAGCAGUGGGGAAUAUUGGACAAAGGGCGAAAGCCUGAUCCAGCCAUGCCGCGUGUGUGAAGAAGGUCUUCGGAUUGUAAAGCACUUUAAGUUGGGAGGAAGGGCAGUAAGUUAAUACCUUGCUGUUUUGACGUUACCAACAGAAUAAGCACCGGCUAACUUCGUG